GAUGAACGCUGACAGCAUGCUUAACACAUCAGCGAUUGAUUUGUGGCGGACGGGUGAGUAACGCGUAAAGAACUUACCUCACAGUUAGGGGCAACAUUUGGAAACGAAUGCUAAUACCUAAUACUGUGAGAGAGCUUUGCGUCCCAUUAGCUAGUUGGAGAGGUAACGACUCACCAAGGCGAUGAUGGGUAGCCGUCCUGAGAGGGUGAGCGGCCACAAGGGGACUGGGAAACGGCCCUUACUGCUACGGGAGGAAGCAGUGGGGAAUAUUGGCCAAUGGACCAAAGUCUGAUCAAGCAAGUCUGUGUGCAAGAUGAAGUUUUCGGAAUGUAAAGAGCUUUCAGUUGGGAAGCGUUACCAACAGAAGAAGUGACGGCUAACUACGUGCCAGCCGCCGCGGUAAUUC
rnacentral:rRNA from 1 species